CUACGGGCCGCACCAGUGGGGAAUAUUGGACAAUGGGCGAAAGCCUGAUCCAGCCAUGCCGCGUGGGUGAAGAAGGCCUUAGGGUUGUAAACCCCUUUCAGCGGGGAAGAUAAUGACGGUACCCGCAGAAGAAGCCCCGGCUAACUCCGUGCCAGCAGCCGCGGUAAUACGGAGGGGGCUAGCGUUGUUCGGAAUUACUGGGCGUAAAGCGCGCGUAGGCGGACUUUCAAGUCAGGGGUGAAAUCCCGGGGCUCAACCUCGGAACUGCCUUUGAUACUGCAAGUCUUGAGUCCGAGAGAGGUGAGUGGAAUUCCUAGUGUAGAGGUGAAAUUCGUAGAUAUUAGGAAGAACACCAGUGGCGAAGGCGGCUCACUGGCUCGGUACUGACGCUGAGGCGCGAAAGCGUGGGGAGCAAACAGGAUUAGAUACCCCCGUAGUC
rnacentral:rRNA from 1 species